GAUAUGGCUCAGGAUGAACGCUAGCUACAGGCUUAACACAUGCAAGUCGAGGGGAAACGGCAUUGAGUGCUUGCACUCUUUGGACGUCGACCGGCGCACGGGUGAGUAACGCGUAUCCAACCUUCCCAUUACUGUGGGAUAACCUGCCGAAAGGCAGACUAAUACCGCAUGGUCUUCGAUGACGGCAUCAGAUUUGAAGUAAAGAUUUAUCGGUAAUGGAUGGGGAUGCGU
rnacentral:rRNA from 1 species